CCUACGGGAGGCAGCAGUGGGGAAUAUUGGACAAUGGGCGAAAGCCUGAUCCAGCAAUGCCGCGUGAGUGAUGAAGGCCUUAGGGUUGUAAAGCUCUUUUACCAGGGAUGAUAAUGACAGUACCUGGAGAAUAAGCUCCGGCUAACUCCGUGCCAGCAGCCGCGGUAAUACGGAGGGAGCUAGCGUUGUUCGGAAUUACUGGGCGUAAAGCGUACGUAGGCGGUUAUUCAAGUCAGAGGUGAAAGCCUGGAGCUCAACUCCAGAACUGCCUUUGAAACUAGAUAACUAGAAUCACGGAGAGGUGAGUGGAAUUCCGAGUGUAGAGGUGAAAUCCGUAGAUAUUCGGAAGAACACCAGUGGCGAAGGCGGCUCACUGGACGUGUAUUGACGCUGAGGUACGAAAGCGUGGGGAGCAAACAGGAUUAGAUACCCUGGUAGUCCACGCCGUAAACGAUGAUAACUAGCUGCCAGGGCUCUUAGAGCUUUGGUGGCGCAGCUACGCAUUAAGUUAUCCGCCGUGGGAGGUACGGUCGCGAGAGUUAAACUAACGUAAAGUAAGUUAGUUAGUACGUUGUUAGAGNGCGACGACGACGACGACGGAGGAGGAG
rnacentral:rRNA from 1 species